rnacentral:misc_RNA from 1 species
UGGUUCUGGCAUCGAUGAAGAACGCAGCGAAAUGCGAUAAGUAAUGCGAAUUGCAGAAUUCCAGUGAGUCAUCGAAUCUUUGAACGCACAUUGCGCCCUUUGGUAUUCCGAAGGGCAUACCUGUUCGAGCGUCAUUAUCACCCCUCAAGCCCCCUCGGUUUGGUGUUGGACGGUUUGGUGGAGGCCCCCCGUGGGCACCUACCCCUCCUAAAGGCAAUGACGGCGGCCUCGUUGGACCCCCGGUACACUGAGUUCUUCACGGGACACGUAUCGGACACAUGGGUCUACGGGGCACGGUCUACCUCCCCUCGGGGAGAAUCUUUCUUUCAAGGUUGACCUCGGAUCAGGUAGGGAUACCCGCUGA